rnacentral:rRNA from 1 species
CAGGUAGAGAAUACCAAGGCGCUUGAGAGAACUCGGGUGAAGGAACUAGGCAAAAUGGUGCCGUAACUUCGGGAGAAGGCACGCUGGUGUGUAGGUGAAGUCCCUGCGGAUGGAGCUGAGACCAGUCGAAGAUACCAGCUGGCUGCAACUGUUUAUUAAAAACACAGCACUGUGCAAACACGAAAGUGGACGUAUACGGUGUGACGCCUGCCCGGUGCCGGAAGGUUAAUUGAUGGGGUUAUCCGUAAGGAGAAGCUCUUGAUCGAAGCCCCGGUAAACGGCGGCCGUAACUAUAACGGUCCUAAGGUAGCGAAAUUCCUUGUCGGGUAAGUUCCGACCUGCACGAAUGGCGUAAUGAUGGCCAGGCUGUCUCCACCCGAGACUCAGUGAAAUUGAACUCGCUGUGAAGAUGCAGUGUACCCGCGGCAAGACGGAAAGACCCCGUGAACCUUUACUAUAGCUUGACACUGAACAUUGAGCCUUGAUGUGUAGGAUAGGUGGGAGGCUUUGAAGCGUGGACGCCAGUCUGCGUGGAGCCAACCUUGAAAUACCACCCUUUAAUGUUUGAUGUUCUAACGUUGGCCCCUGACCGGGGUUGCGGACAGUGUCUGGUGGGUAGUUUGACUGGGGCGGUCUCCUCCCAAAGCGUAACGGAGGAGCACGAAGGUUAGCUAAUCCUGGUCGGACAUCAGGAGGUUAGUGCAAUGGCAUAAGCUAGCUUGACUGCGAGCGUGACGGCGCGAGCAGGUGCGAAAGCAGGUCAUAGUGAUCCGGUGGUUCUGAAUGGAAGGGCCAUCGCUCAACGGAUAAAAGGUACUCCGGGGAUAACAGGCUGAUACCGCCCAAGAGUUCAUAUCGACGGCGGUGUUUGGCACCUCGAUGUCGGCUCAUCACAUCCUGGGGCUGAAGUAGGUCCCAAGGGUAUGGCUGUUCGCCAUUUAAAGUGGUACGCGAGCUGGGUUUAGAACGUCGUGAGACAGUUCGGUCCCUAUCUGCCGUGGGCGCUGGAGAAUUGAGGGGGGCUGCUCCUAGUACGAGAGGACCGGAGUGGACGCAUCACUGGUGUUCGGGUUGUCAUGCCAAUGGCACUGCCCGGUAGCUAAAUGCGGAAGAGAUAAGUGCUGAAAGCAUCUAAGCACGAAACUUGCCCCGAGAUGAGUUCUCCCUGAGACUUUAAGUCUCCUGAAGGAACGUUAAAGACGAUGACGUUGAUAGGCCGGGUGUGUAAGCGCAGCGAUGCGUUGAGCUAACCGGUACUAAUGAACCGUGAGGCUUAACCUU